rnacentral:rRNA from 1 species
GCGGCGCGCUUACACAUGCAAGUCGAGCGAGAAAGGGGAGCAAUCCCUGAGUACAGCGGCGUACGGGUGAGUAACACGUGGGUAAUUUACCUCUGAGUGGGGAAUAACCCUGGGAAACCGGGGCUAAUACCGCAUAAGCCUGAGAAGGGAAAGCAGCAAUGCGCUGAGAGAGGAGCCCGCGGCCGAUUAGCUAGUUGGUGAGGUAACGGCUCACCAAGGCGACGACCGGUAGCCGGCCUGAGAGGGCACACGGCCACACUGGCACUGAAACACGGGCCAGACUCCUACGGGAGGCAGCAGUGGGGAAUCUUGCACAAUGGAGGCAACUCUGAUGCAGCGACGCCGCGUGAGCGAUGAAGCCCUUCGGGGUGUAAAGCUCUUUCGGCAGGAACGAUAAUGACGGUACCUGAAGAAGAAGCUGCGGCUAACUACGUGCCAGCAGCCGCGGUAAUACGUAGGCAGCGAGCGUUGUUCGGAAUUACUGGGCGUAAAGAGUGUGUAGGCGGUGCUCUAAGUUCGGUGUGAAAUCUCCUGGCUUAACUGGGAGGGUGCGCCGGAAACUG